rnacentral:rRNA from 1 species
AGAGUUUGAUCAUGGCUCAGGACGAACGCUGACGGUGUGCUUUAGACAUGCAAGUCGAACGAGAAAGCCCUUCGGGGUGAGUACAGUGGCGAACGGGUGAGUAACACGUGGGCAAUCUGCCCCUCGCAGGGGGACAACCGGAGGAAACCCCGGCUAAUACCCCGUACGCUUACGGAGCCGCAUGGCUCCGUAAGGAGAGGUAGCUUCGGCCAUCCGGCGAGGGAUGAGCCCGCGGUGCAUUAGCUAGUUGGUGAGGUAACGGCUCACCAAGGCGACGAUGCAUAGCUGGUCUGAGAGGAUGAUCAGCCACACUGGGACUGAGACACGGCCCAGACUCCUACGGGAGGCAGCAGUCGGGAAUCUUGCGCAAUGGGCGAAAGCCUGACGCAGCAACACCGUGUGAGCGACGAAGGCCUUCGGGUCGUAAAGCUCUGUUGUUGGGGACGAAGGGUUAGGGGUUAAUAGCCCCGAGCCUGACGGUACCCUUCGAGGAAGCCCCGGCUAACUACGUGCCAGCAGCCGCGGUAAUACGUAGGGGGCGAGCGUUGUCCGGAAUUAUUGGGCGUAAAGAGCGUGUAGGCGGUUCGGUAAGUCUGCCGUGAAAACCCAGGGCUCAACCCUGGGCGUGCGGUGGAUACUGCCGGGCUAGAGGGUGGUAGAGGCGAGUGGAAUUCCCGGUGUAGCGGUGAAAUGCGCAGAUAUCGGGAGGAACACCAGUAGCGAAGGCGGCUCGCUGGGCCACACCUGACGCUGAGACGCGAAAGCGUGGGGAGCAAACAGGAUUAGAUACCCUAGUAGUCC